UCACGGAGCCCCACGAGCCCGAAAACCAGGCACUGCUGAUCUCAGACCCCCAGCUUACCACCUUGCUUGAAAGUCUGCACUUUGCUGUGCUCGAGGGCAGGACAGCACACUUCUACCUCCCAGCACAAUCAAGGAUGUCAACAGUUCCAGCUAGCAGGGUGGAUAAGCUGAGAGCCAUAUUCCAAGGGAUCUACCCUCUGCAAGUGGAGUGUUUGGAAAAAGCAAUAACCCUAACAGGUAAGUUAAUUCAUAACCUGUUCCUGUUCAGCAUCUGAAUCUGGCACCAAUUAGAAGUAAGGUACUAAAGUAGAGAGAGCAGCAGAUUCUUCAGGUGUGAC